AUGCCGCCUUUCUGGUUGAGGGCAUAGCUGAC
rnacentral:scRNA from 1 species